UUAAAGAUCUAGAGUCUACUUUCCUCCGUGCGCCGUGCUCUUCAGGUUGCUGAAUUCUUCAGGAAUCCAGGGGAAGAAACGCCUCACUCCCCUGUAUGCAGGGCCAGGGGUAGAGGGAGACAUCUUCUAGAUCUGCGUCUCUGUCCUCCUUCGCCUCACCAACCAACGCUCCCCCUGGCAGAGUCCACACUGUCUGACUGUGUCACCCUUUCAAGUCCCCCUCAUACUCACGGCUGGAAGCUUCUCCAAGCAGCGCCAGGAGAAAUCCCAUCUCAUGACUGCAUGUUCCCCAACACCCACCCUGAGGACUUGGUCAUACUUUGGCCUCACUUUUCUCAAAAUUGCCUCAUCCCGAACUCUCAAGCCCUGAAAUCCACCUCUCUAAUGACAGCUCCUCCCUGAGCUGCCCCUUGUCGUUGUCAUCUGGUUUACCUUCCCCUGUCUUCCAAGUCCUGGCCCCUGGGCGGUCAGCUCACUGUCAGAUUUUCUUGCCAAUCUACCACCUACCCUGGACUUCCUGGUUAACUGUGCACAGUGAUACCUUCACAGCAUCCUCAAGUCUUGUCUCUGUUAGUUC
rnacentral:lncRNA from 1 species